UCUCCGUUGGUGAACCAGCGGAGGGAUCAUUAUAGAGUUUUCUAAACUCCCAACCCAUGUGAACUUACCUUUUGUUGCCUCGGCAGAAGCUGCUCGGUGCACCCUACCUUGGAACGGCCUACCCUGUAGCGAGUUACCCUGGAACGACUUACCCUGUAACGCCUGCCGGUGGACUACCAAACUCUUGUUAUUUUAUUGUAAUCUGAGCGUCUUAUUUUAAUAAGUCAAAACUUUCAACAACGGAUCUCUUGGUUCUGGCAUCGAUGAAGAACGAGC
rnacentral:misc_RNA from 1 species